rnacentral:tRNA from 1 species
CCCUGGCUGGCUCAGUCAGUAGAGCACUUGACUCUUGAUCGUGGGGUCGUGAGUUCAAGCCCCACUUAGGGU